UCUUCUGUGUUUCACGCGUCCUGGGUAUCCCUGAAAUCAGCCAGUUCUGGGCCUGAGCUCAGCGCCCCGGGCCUCCUGGCCCGGGUCGAGCCUGCGCCCGCCGCUGCCCCACAGAUCCCCAGCCGGUGCCUGACGUGCGUGCGGUUCCGUGCUCUCCGGGAGUGCGUGGUGGGCAGGACGUCGGCGCUGCCAGUCUCCGUGUACGACUACUACGAACCCGCCUUCGAGGCCACUCGCUUCUACAACGUCAGCACGCACAGCCCACUCGCCCGGGAACUGUGCGCCGGACCCGCGUGCAACGAAGUGGAGCGCGCCCCUGCCCGGGGCCCGGAGCAGCGGCUGCCGGCCUCGGCGUCCUCCACCUACGGGGAUGACCUGGCUUCUGUGGCCCCGGGGCCUUUACAGCAGGACGUGAAGCUGAAUGGAGCCGGCCUUGAGGUGGUGGACUCAGACCCUGAGCCUGAAGGGGAGGCGGAGGACAGUCAGAGCGGCUUCUCUUCCUAACGGCUGCCCUGCUGAGAGCAGGACGACACCAUCUGGCUGCAUCCUGUCCCUAUCAGCCUGUGA
rnacentral:sRNA from 1 species